CCAAGAUGUGCUGGUGCAAUGGGGAACAUGGUUUUGUAGGACCCUCCCCUCCUAUACUGCGGACUCAAAUCAUGUGUUUGGAUGUAGUAGAAGGAAUCUGUUAUGAUUCAUAGGCAGGCACAUAUUAAGGAAAUUUCAUUCAGAUUGUAGCAAAUCAUUAUAGCCCACAAAAGCAUACUGAAUGAGUGAGUGUUUAGCAUAAUCUUGAUCAAGAAUGCCUCCUCAAUCAAGACUGUGGUUCUCUAUUGAAUAGCACUAAACUUUUAUGAACAAAAUAAUGAAUUAUAAAAUUUUUCUUUGAUGAAAAGGAGGGUUUAAAUUGAAAUAUGAAGUUUUAAUUUAAGAUAUGAAUAUGAAUGAAUCGUUGAUACCUAACUUGCUUGAGAAGGUGAGAUGAUUAUUAAUUUACUAGUUGUGUUUUCCAACUCAUUAUAGCAUAGUUUACCCACUGCAUAAGUGCAUAUCAAUUCCAAAAGCUAAGCAAAGGCAAAAGUGUAAAACUCCUCCCACCACCAAAGGGACCACUUUGAUAUUAACCUAUCAGUAAAUAAAGGAAAAGAUUACUUCUUUGUACCUAAUUAUCAAACUCUUUUAGAAAGAAAAAAGUUGUCUCUAAAUAUAAAUUUUGCUUCAAAUUAUUAUAUACAUAUUUCCCAAAUAUGUAAGGGUUUCCUCCAUUAACGGUAUAAUGGAUGGAUAAUUGCAAAUUAAUUAUGAAAUCAAACGUAGAAUUGAUAGAUGAGAAUUCAAUCGGAGUUGGUGUUCUUAAUGCAUAAAAGAAUUAAUGGAAAUAUAGAAGAAAACUUAGUCUAAGACUUCCAUUACUCUAUAAGAGAGUAUCAAAUGGAAGAGAUGAUUGCCUUUAUCAAUUUUCUUCAUAAUCAUUAUUGAUCAUCGUUUCUUUAUUUACGGACAACCAUUGUAAGAGAGUAUCCAAGGGGAGAGAUGAUUGCCUUCAUCAAUUUUCUUCAUAUAACCAUUAUUGAUCAUCGUUUCUUUUAUUUACGGACAAUCACCGACCACAUGUUCAUUUGUUUCAAUCGAUUAUAUUAUAUCAAAUGUAUUUUCUCAUAUGCCAUUUCGAAUUGCAACAAAAUAUUUUUAUAAAAUUUAUAGUCCUCCAUUCGACAUCGAUGAUUUCCCUCUCCUAAAAAGGAAUUAAAUAGUACCAUUACAUCCUACGAUAUAACUCAAGUGAUUAAUUUUUGUCAUAAAAAUAUAACACAAGUGAUUAAUCUCUCUCUCUUGUAAAAAAAAAGUGAUUAAUCUCUCCAAUUAAUUGUAGAAUAAAUAUCACAUUUAAAAAAAAAAAUACAUACUAUUUUCACCAUUUUGUAAAAAAUAAAUACACCCUAAUUAUUGUUUUAGUUAAAGAAAUUUAAGGUGAAUUAGGCUUAGGAAGUUACUAAAAUUACAACAGACUUCAAGAUACAUCAAGGGCUAAUCAUCUGUUUGAACUAACGGUUCUUUGAAUACUGUCGCACAUUUAGUGAGAAGCU
rnacentral:lncRNA from 1 species